rnacentral:rRNA from 1 species
ACGGAAGGCAGCAGUGGGGAAUAUUGCACAAUGGGCGAAAGCCUGAUGCAGCGACGCCGCGUGAGUGAAGAAGUAUUUCGGUAUGUAAAGCUCUAUCAGCAGGGAAGAAAAAUGACGGUACCUGACUAAGAAGCACCGGCUAAAUACGUGCCAGCAGCCGCGGUAAUACGUAUGGUGCAAGCGUUAUCCGGAUUUACUGGGUGUAAAGGGAGCGCAGGCGGUACGGCAAGUCUGAUGUGAAAGCCCGGGGCUCAACCCCGGUACUGCAUUGGAAACUGUCGAACUAGAGCGUCGGAGGGGUAAGCGGAAUUCCUAGUGUAGCGGUGAAAUGCGUAGAUAUUAGGAGGAACACCAGUGGCGAAGGCGGCUUACUGGACGAUAACUGACGCUGAGGCUCGAAAGCGUGGGGAGCAAACAGGAUUAGAUACCCUGGUA